GGGGGGUUGGCGCAACGGUAGCGCAUUGGAUUCCAGAUCAGACAUGGAGCUUCCCAAAAGUUAUCGGCUCAAAUCCGAUGUCCCUCG